rnacentral:rRNA from 1 species
AUGGGGAAGGGGAUCUUGCCUGUUGGCUGUUCACCAAAUAUGGAGAGUAUACGUAAGUGUGGCACCGGUCAGUGUUCUAAUAGUUGCGAGGAACAAUCUUGGAAAGCUUUGUGGUCGAUAAGGGUGCCCAAUAAAAUGAAGGUGGCGUUAUGGCGCUUUGCACAUGAUUGUCUCCCGUCCGGGGCUCAGUUGCAGCGCCGCCAUGUACCUGACUCGGAGUUAUGCUGCUUCUGUGGUCGGCUUGAAACUGUGGAACAUGCGAUCUUGUUCUGUCCACAUGCCAAGGUUGUGUGGGAUGCGAUCAAGAAUUGGUCAGACAUCAAGCUUAAUCGAUCCAGGUUUAACAACACCAAACUUUUGCUGUUUGAUUUUAUUUCUAAUUCCUCUAAUAGGGAAGCUAUUGUUCUGGCUGUGACCUUUUGGCAUAUUUGGGAGGCCCGUAAUUCUGUGAGGAAUAAUCCUGAAGCUCCACACCUUAGUCAUACGGUCAACAAAAUCAUAGCAUACUUAGAUUUGAUUAUGCAGCACCUCUACAGCUCUGUUCCUGCCAACAGGCGUGAGUCCUCUUUGUCAAGUUCCACUUGGACUCCGCCGCCGUCAAGUUCGAUUGUUAUCAAUUCAGAUGCUGCUGUUUUUUCAGAGACUAACAUGCCAGGUGCCGGUGUGGUUGCUUUUGACCAUUAG